CUUCAGUCCAGCACUUUUAUCAAGCAUAUGAAAUUUAGUGCAGAUUGAACAUGGAAUGUUUGAGUUAGUAUAAAGCAUGUUGUGUCCUAUUGCCAACAGGUGGCGCUAUGAUUAUAACUAAACAUUGGCCUUAAGAUAUCUUCAGGCCAUUACUCUUUCCAAAUGUUUGAAGUUUGGUGCAGAUUGGACAUUGCAUGUUUAAGUUAGUGUAAAACAAGCCAUUUUCUGUUGUCAGCAGGUGGCGCUAUGAUUAUAGUGGAAUAAUGACCUUCAGAUGUGUUCAGGCCAAGACUCUUUUCGAACAUGUGAAGUUUGGGGAAGAUCGGACGUCUUAUGCCUGAGUUACAACAACUUCUAUUCCCAUGGCGAGACAUCGAACUUUGUCACGGCGCCAUGGCCACACCCUUUAAUGAAACCUCAAGAUGUUCACAAUUUAACAUCGCAAAGGCCUUUAGAUUAGACUGACCAAAAAAAAUUAUCAAAUGUCAUAAAAUUUCUAGGAGUAGUUUAUUACGGCGUAAAACAUGUCACUUCCUGUUGCCAGCAGGUGGCGCUAUAGCGAUAUCUGAAUAUUGGCAUGUAGAUAUAUUCAGGUCAGGAGUCUUCUCAAACAUGUGAAGUUUGGGGCAGAUUGGACAUUGUAUGUCUGAGUUAUAGCAACUUCCUUUCUCAUGGCGAAACAUCGAAAUUUGUAAGGCCGCCACAGACACGCCCUUAAACGAAACCUCAAGAUCUUCGCAAUUUAACAUCGCAAAGGCCUUUAGAUUACAUUGACAAAGUUUGGUGUUGAUCUGAAUAAAUCUCUAGGAGGAGUUCGUUAAAGUACAACCCCUGAAAAUGGCAAAAACGAUACAAAUUUUGCAGAGAAAAUUCAAAAUAACUGACUUCCUGUUGGGAUUCGAAUUUCGUACCAAGAGACUUUUUUGUAGGUAUUGGUGUGUUACAUGUGUGUACCGAUUUUUGUACAUGUACGUGAAAUGUAGCUCGAGGCGCACUCCGUUGAAAAUGUAUAGGUGGCGCUAUCGAGGCAUUUUGCCACACCCGAUGGAAUAUUGGCCUUCAGAUUUGUUCAGGCCAGGACUCUUAUCAAACAUGUGAAGUUUGGGCAAGAUCGGACAUUUUAUGCCUGAGUUACAAUAACUUUUAUUCCCAUGGCGAGACAUCGAACUUUGUGACGGCGCCAUGGCCACGCCCUUUAACGAAAACUCAAGAUCUUCACAAUUUAAC
ensembl:lncRNA